AAAGAAGCUGCAGCCAGUGCUGAGAGUGGAGCUCCAACCAUUUUUGACAAGAUCAUAGCAAAGGAAAUACCUUCGUCCAUUGUAUAUGAGGAUGACAGAGUCCUUGCUUUUCGGGAUGUUAAUCCUCAGGCUCCUGUUCAUGUUUUAGUCGUUCCAAAGUUCAGGGAUGGAUUGACACAACUUGGGAAGGCUGAAAGAAGGCACAGGGAGAUCCUAGGUGAACUUCUCUAUGCUGCCAAAAUAGUGGCUGAAAAAGAAGGCAUCCUUGAUGGCUGUCGUGUUGUUAUCAACAACGGUCCCAGUGCUUGUCAAUCUGUUU
rnacentral:misc_RNA from 1 species